AAUCGACUCCCCGCCUCUGCCACGCACGCAGCUCCAAAACAAUAGAACCGUUUGAGAUGGUCCGUCUUGUUUCUAACAUCCCUACAAAGAACCGGUAAACACAGAGGCGCUGAGCUUUAACGGAAAAUUACGCUCAGUAUUAUGACAUUUGUUAGUGUUUUACCCUUUUUUGAAGCAUCAGAUUCUCUACGAGUGAGCGGUUAAAAUCCGGAUCUCCGCGGCGAUUUCACUUAGUAACGUUGCUGGAUUGGACUCGGCCGGGUUUCCCUCCUUCGUUCGGUUCUUCUUUCUGUCGUGUCUGCCGUACAUAACGCCGCAGAAGACAAGAUGGCGAAGCAACACACCGAGCCACAGGACCGAGUUUAAACCCGCAGCUUGACGGACGGACUUUCCCCGCAGCAGCUGGACUGAGAGCUGAACCUGGUUCUGUAGGCUGCGGUUCACCGGAUCCGCAGCUGGACUGAUCUGUUCGCUAUUCGCUCUGAUUGUGCACGUUGUGUGAGUUGGUUGAGGUUUUGCUUCUGCUCCCCUUUUUUCCCCCAUUCCUUUGUUUUCAUCCAUUCAUAUCUGAGAACUGUUGAAGGUUGCAUACCUAAAGAUUAAUAUAGAAACCCAGCACUUUGAUAUAGAGAGAAAAAAGUUAAAGCACUACAAUAAACUAAAACACCUUUCUUAGCGUAUUGCUCUACGAAUAAACUUGCUAAAUUAGACGUAGGAACAACUAAAACCCACAAAAUUUAAACGUAAGUGCAAUACUGUGCAAAACCUGAUGUCCACCCUUUUAGAAUUUCCAGUAAAACCAGCCAGAAAGUAUCAAAGUAUUUUUUUCAGCGUCAGAAAAGUAACAGGAGGCCGAUAAUUUGACGGAAAAACGCACACAGGCCUUUAAGAAAAAAGGUGUGAUAUCAAAUCUGUCACUAUUUCAUUUGCCAGCUGCUGCCACUGUAACUCUUCCAUCCUUCCAGUCUUUAACUAGUGAGUCACCUGUUCCCAAAACUGGCACUUUCCACUUUAAAGAGACACUAACGUUCACACAAGCAGCUACCCGAACACCUUCGCUGCCUUCCAGAUUUCUUUUUCAUGUGCGUCUAAAAUGGCCAAAGGAGGAAUUCCUGAGGAGCUCAGAUAUAAGGUAAUCCACUUACACAAGAAAGGGGAAAGUCAAAGGAAAAUAAGUGGAAAAACGGGAGUUUCCAAAACUGGAGUUCAGAAAAUUAUUGAAAGGUAUAAAGAAAAUGGCACCCCUAACGACCGCGCAAGGACUGGUAGACCACCAAAACUGUCCCCAUCAGAUAAGUGGUACUUGAAGGUUUCGUCUUUGAUGGAUAUGAGGAAAUCGAGCUCCUCGCUUGCUUUAGAUCUGAAAGCAUCUACAGGUGUUUCUGUCCAUCCUUCCACUGUGAGAAGGCAGCUCAACGCUAUGAGUAAAGGAACUGUGUCCGUGAAGAAGCCGGUACCGAAAAAAGAAAAGACUGCAAAGAAGAAAGAGAAGAAGAAGAAGCAUAAAGUUAAAAAAAUUAAAGAGGAGCAAGAAGAAAAAUCGCAGUAGAACAUUGACUGGACGCAGUCCGGACCCCAGCAUCACUCAGUGUGUUUCGGGUUACUUGGAUCAUGAGAAGUGAAAACGCAACUAAGCCUGAACUUUACAAGUGUUUACAAAACAAAAAAAACCUGUAAUAAAGGCAAAAUGUCGACACACAAAAUACUCAACAUUUUGAUAUUAUAUUUAGUUGAUGUGUCUUUUAUUGGUAAAUGUUUUUUUUCCUCUGAUGCUGAACAAUAAAUAACUUAUUAAUGGCCGAUUUGAUAGGAAAUUAAAUCAGAGUGGUCUCUGAAUUUUGCACAGUGCUGUAGAUCUCAAAGUAAUCCUAAGAUCCAUGUUAGUCUUAAAUAUAAACCAUUUCUUCACAAAGUGUAAAACCUUAAAUAUAUGAAACUCAUUAACCCCUUAAAAGACAAUUGUAUUAAUUGAAGAUCUACUGGAACCAAAAAAAAAAAAAGGAUUUACUUUUAGGCACUUGUGGUUGAUACUAAGUAUUAAGCCUGUCUUUCUUUGGUUUGUUAUUUACUUUAAUUACCUCGGUAUACCUGCCAAGCCUGCCGAAACCAAAAAUGACUUUUUUUGCAGUAUAAUUUGCAUAACUUGCCUCCGGUCUCAGCUUCUCCAGCUUUGCCACUCUCUCUGAAAUUGAACUGGCCCGUAUUAGUAUUCACCCAAUACCAGAUAUUACACAUAUUAGAGCUAUGUUACCUGUUACAGUAGCCUGUCGUAUAGCAACACCUUUUUAAUAUAUACUUUGCCAGUAAUAUCAGCAUUUAUUUGAAUAAACCUAAAAGCAAUAGGUUCCAUAGUCUGAAAGUUAAGAUAUUGUGAUGUUACUAAAGCUUGUUUUAUACACUAUAAUUGAUGAAGUCAUUGACCUUACUGGUCUGAGCAGGACAGGACAGACGUACUUGAGUGAUCACUGCGUUCACUUGUAAAUUCAGUUUAUUCAGUGUGGAUAUGUAUGUGAAAGUGACGUAUCUCUAUGACUGCUUUUACUCCGGCUCCAUCUUUAGCCCAUCACCGGCGGCUUCAAGGUGGUGGCUUCUGUUUUUGGCCAUGUGAUGCACUUUUGUCCAGUUUUAUAGGCAACAGUUUGUUAUACAUGUCAGAAACCACAUAAGCAACUCUGUUUGACCUUGCUUAAGGGUUCUGGAUUUGCUUGUAUCUGCCUUUUAUCUGCCUUCUGUCUGAGUUUGCAGCUGUUCUGGUAAUGAUUCCUGGAACAGCACUAAUAAAGCUGCUCUGCAUGUAAAUCCA